CUUCAGGUGGUUCAUGCAGACAUCUGUACUCAGGCUUCACUUCUUCAGAAGGCUGAUGUUUGUUGUUGUAAUGAAUAAUGUCUUUGAAUAUUUUCUUGACAGACUGGAACAGGCCAGAGCUUGGGAGUUUAUCGCUUGUAAUGUAAAGAAAAGAGGGUCCUUAUUAGUGACAGCUCCAAGCCUUAAAGAUUUGCUCUCAAAGCUUCAGGUAAACCUGGAAGAGAAUAGCCCACAUCUGGGGAACCUUCCCUGCCACUUCAUUUUCCUAAGCAAAGCCU